UACAGAGGGGGCAAGCGUUAUUCGGAAUUACUGGGCGUAAAGGGCGCGUAGGCGGUUCUUUAAGUCGGAUGUGCAAUCCCCGAGCUCAACUUGGGAACUGCAUCCGAAACUGGGGAGCUAGAGUACUGGAGAGGGUGGUAGAAUUCCACGUGUAGCGGUGAAAUGCGUAGAUAUCGGGAGGAAUACCGGUGGCGAAGGCGACUUUCUGGACGAAUACUGACGCUGAGGCGCGAAAGCGUGGGGAGCAAACAGGAUUAGAAACCCGGGUAGU
rnacentral:rRNA from 1 species